rnacentral:misc_RNA from 1 species
AAAAACCUUAUCUUCUUGUGCUUUCAAAUUCCAAAUCCAAACCCAUCCCUCUCUCUAAAAAUCUCUGAGUCUGCAUCAAACAUUUCACAUUAAGCAGCAAAUUCUUCAAUGGCUCUGAGGAUCGUGUAUGGUGUGGUGUUCUUGUCUUUCUCAUGCGCCUGCUUCAAGCUUCUCCACCUCUUCCUCCACCCAGUCUUCUACUUCACUUCUUGAUGUAACGUAACGAUGGGAGGAAAGGAUAGAGAUCUCAAGAAGCUCAAAUGUGUUUGUUAAUUAUAGUGAGAUUUUCUUCAUUUUUAUACCCUCAAUUAUAAUAAUUAUCUUUGUAUUACUUGGCAGAUCAUGUUUUCGUUGGUCCCUAAGGCUAAAUCUGUGUUUCUUGUUAUGAAUCAUGAUACAAUCGGAUCUGCAUCUGUUAUGUUCUUGGUUUGGUUUUCGUGUGUGAUGAGAUUAGGGAAUUGUCAUUCAAUUAAUUGGAAUUCCCAAAUCUCAUCACACACGAAAACCAAACCAA